UGAAUACGAGACGCUAAGGCGUCGAAGUAGUGUAUGUCAUACUUCCAAGAAAAGCUUGCACUGUCAUAGAUAAAAAACACCUGUACCAUAACCGACACAGGUGGGUAGGUAGAGUAUACUAAGGGGCGCGAGAUAACUCUCUCUAAGGAACUCGGCAAAAUAACUCCGUAACUUCGGGAGAAGGAGUGCCUUAUUCGUAAGGUUGCAAUAACAAGAUCCAAGCAACUGUUUAUCAAAAACACAGGUCUCCGCUAAGUCGUAAGACGAUGUAUGGGGGCUGACGCCUGCCCAGUGCCAGAAGGUUAAAGAAGUUGGUUAGCAAUUGCGAAGCUGAUAACUGAAGCCCUGGUGAACGGCGGCCGUAACAAUAACGGUCCUAAGGUAGCGAAAUUCCUUGUCGGGUAAGUUCCGACCCGCACGAAAGGCGUAAUGAUUUGGAUACUGUCUCGGAGAGGGGCUCGGUGAAAUAGACUUGUCUGUGAAGAUGCGGACUACCUGCACCAGGACAGAAAGACCCUAUGAAGCUUUACUGUAACUUGAAAUUGAAAUUGGACUUUAUUCGCGCAGUAUAGGUGGGAGGCGUUGAUUAUAAUCUUGUGGGAUUAUUGGAGCCAUCAGUGAGAUACCACUCUUGUAAUGUUAGAUUUCUAACUUUGAAUCAUUAUCUGGUCAAAGAACAGUUUCAGGCGGGCAGUUUGACUGGGGCGGUCGCCUCCUAAACGGUAACGGAGGCGUACAAAGGUUUCCUCUGAACGGUUAGAAAUCGUAUCUAGAGUGUAAAGGCAUAAGGAAGCUUGACUGUGAGACCUACAAGUCGAGCAGGGACGAAAGUCGGUCUUAGUGAUCUGACGGUACUGAGUGGAAAGGCCGUCACUCAACGGAUAAAAGUUACUCUAAGGAUAACAGGCUGAUCUCCCCCAAGAGUUCACAUCGACGGGGAGGUUUGGCACCUUGAUGUCGGCUCAUCGCAUCCUGGGGCGGUAGUACGUCCCAAGGGUUGGGCUGUUCGCCCAUGAAAGCGGUACGCGAGCUGGGUUCAGAACGUCGUGAGACAGUUCGGUCCAUAUCCGGUGUAGGCGUUAGAAUAUUGAGAGGAGCCUUCUUUAGUACGAGAGGACCGAGAAGGACAUACCUCUGGUGUACCAGUUAUCGUGCCAACGGUAAACGCUGGGUAGCUAUGUAUGGAGUGGAUAACCGCUGAAAGCAUCUAAGUGGGAAGCCCACCUCAAGAUAAGUAUUCUCA
rnacentral:rRNA from 1 species